AUGCGGUUGCCAAAGGGAAUGAUGCCGGGUCGAGCCAGAAGACCGGCGAUGCGGCUGCGGGCACCGGGAGGCAUGGAUCCAACGGGCAGGGCUGGAGAUGAUGCAACUGAAAAGGAGGAGGUUGGCGGAGCAGCGCCAAGGCAGCAGCGAAGCUCUAAGCUCGGGUCCAUGGCGGCAGCUACAGUCGAUGGUGGUUCAAGGGGAGGUGGGCGAGCGGGAGGCUCUCAGGGCCUUGGGUGCUCGAGGAGAGGCCGAGGGCGGCUGGAACCGACCAGAGGCGACGCCCUAUGGCGCGGGGACGAGGUGGCGUUGGUGGCGCUGCUGUAG
rnacentral:rRNA from 1 species